rnacentral:rRNA from 1 species
AUUGAAUGCUGGCGGCAGGCUUAACACAUGCAAGUCGAGCGGAGCGAUGGUGCUUGCACUAUCACUUAGCGGCGGACGGGUGAGUAAUGCUUAGGAAUCUGCCUAUUAGUGGGGGACAACAUCUCGAAAGGGAUGCUAAUACCGCAUACGUCCUACGGGAGAAAGCAGGGGAUCACUUGUGACCUUGCGCUAAUAGAUGAGCCUAAGUCGGAUUAGCUAGUUGGUGGGGUAAAGGCCUACCAAGGCGACGAUCUGUAGCGGGUCUGAGAGGAUGAGCCCCAACACUGGGAGUGGGACACGGCCCAAACUCCUACGGGGGGCAGCAGUGGGGAAUAUUGGACAAUGGGGGGAACCCUGAUCCAGCCAUGCCGCGUGUGUGAAGAAGGCCUUAUGGUUGUAAAGCACUUUAAGCGAGGAGGAGGCUUACCUAGUUAAUACCUGGGAUAAGUGGACGUUACUCGCAGAAUAAGCACCGGCUAACUCUGUGCCAGCCGCCGCCGUAA